UCAGCAAUGAGGUCUUAGUGGCGAACGGGUGAGUAACGCGUUGGUGACCUGCCCCGAAGAGAGGGAUAACAGACCGAAAGGUUUGCUAAUACCGCAUAAGCUCGAGCUAGUCAGAGAGGCUUGAGGAAAGGCCGAAAGGCGCUUUGGGAGGGGCCUGCGUCCCAUCAGCUAGUUGGCGAGGUGAGAGCUCACCAAGGCGAUGACGGGUAGGGGACCUGAGAGGGUGACCCCCCACAAUGGAACUGAAACACGGUCCAUACACCUACGGGUGGCAGCAGUAGGGAAUAUUGGUUAAUGGGCGAAAGCCUGACCCAGCAACGCCGCGUGCGCGAUGAAGGCCUUCGGGUUGUAAAGCGCUUUUGAGUGGGAUGAGGAAGGACAGUACCACUCGAAUAAGUCUCGGCUAACUACGUGCCAGCAGCCGCGGUAACACGUAGGAGACGAGCGUUAUCCGGAUUUACUGGGUGUAAAGCGCGUGCAGGCGGUAUGGAAAGUUGGAUGUGAAAGCUCCCGGCUUAACUGGGAGAGGUCGUUCAAAACUACCAGACUAGAGUACAGCAGAGGGGAGUGGAAUUCCGAGUGUAGCGGUAAAAUGCAUAGAUAUUCGGAAGAACACCAGUGGCGAAGGCGGCUCCCUGGGCUGAAACUGACGCUCAGACGCGAAAGCUAGGGUAGCGAACGGGAUUAGAGACCCCGGUAGUCCUAGCCGUAAACGAUGUGGACUUGGCGUAGGCGGGUUGAAAUCCAUCCGUGCCGAAGCAAACGCGAUAAGUCCACCACCUGGGGACUACGGCCGCAAGGCUAAAACUC
rnacentral:rRNA from 1 species